GGGUUGCCGGUUAUGGGCGUGUGGUGGAUGCCUUGGCGGACAGGACCGAUGAAGGACGCGUGGGGCCGCGAUAGGCCUCGGGGAGCCGCCGACAGGGCUUUGAUCCGAGGGUUUCCGAAUGGGGCAACCCGCCGGCCGUUAUGGGCCGGCACCACCGUUUGGUGGGGGGUACGCAGGGAAGUGAAACAUCUCAGUACCUGCAGGAGGAGAUAUUCCGUGAGUAGUGGCGAGCGAAAGCGGAUGACGACCAAACCUUGCGCGCGUGAUACCCGUCGGGGGUUGCGCGUGGGGUGUUGCGGGAGGCCGCUUUCCCGGUUCCGACGGGCCGGGCGUCAGUGACAAAGCCGUGUGCGAGGGGAACCGGAUUGGAUUCCGGGCCGUAGAGGGUGAUGGCCCCGUACCCGUAGGCGCAUGGCCUGGCGUGUGGUGUUCCCAAGUAGCGCGGGACUCGUGGAAUCCCGUGUGAAUCGGCCCGGACCGCCGGGUAAGUCUGAAUAUUCCUGUCCGACCGAUAGCGUACUAGUACCGUGAGGGAAAGGUGAAAAGCACCCCGGGAGGGGAGUGAAAGAGUUCCUGAAACCGUGCGCCUGCAAACCGUCGGAGCCUCUUUGAUGGGGUGACGGCGUGCCUAUCGAAAAAUGAGUCUGCGAGUCAGUGAUGGGUGGCGAGCGUAAGCCGUGUGGUGUACGCGUAGCGAAAGCGAGUCCGAAGAGGGCGUUUUUGAGUCGCUUGUCCUGGACCCGAAGCGGGAUGAUCUAGCCCUGGGCAGGUUGAAGCGCGGGUAAGACCGUGUGGAGGACCGGACCCACCUGGGUUGAAAACCGGGGGGAUGACCUGGGGCUGGGGGUGAAAGGCCAAUCAAAUUCCGUGAUAGCUGGUUCUCUCCGAAAUGCAUUUCGGUGCAGCGUCGUGUGAUUGCAUCCGGGGGGUAGAGCUACUGGAUGCUUGAGGGCCCGUAUGGGGUACCGACAGCAGCCAAACUCCGAAUACCCGUGAUGUGUAUCAUGGCAGUGAGUCGGCGGGGGAUAAGCUCCGUCGUCGAAAGGGAAACAGCCCAGACCGUCGUCUAAGGUCCCUCAGCGCGUGCUAAGUGGGAAAGGAUGUGGGGUCGCAUAGACAGCCAGGAGGUUGGCUCAGAAGCAGCCAUCCUUGAAAGAGUGCGUAACAGCUCACUGGUCUAGUGGUCCCGCGCCGACAAUGUAGCGGGGCUCAAGCACGCCACCGAAGACGCGGCGGCAAUGUUUUGUUGUUGGGUAGGAGAGCGUCCCCACGGGGUCGAAGCGCAUGGCGUGAGCCGUCGUGGACUUGUGGGGAGUGAGAAUGCAGACAUGAGUAGCGAGAGCGGGGUGAGGAUCCCCGCCGCUGGAUGACCAAGGGUUCCGGGGCCACGUUCGUCGUCCCCGGGUGAGUCGGGUCCUAAGGCGAGGCCGACAGGCGUAGUCGAAUGGAUGAACGGGUUGAUAUUCCCGUACCGGCUUCUGGCCGUUUGAGCGUGUGGAGUGACGCAGUGGGGUAGCCGGCCGCGGAGGUGGUUUUCCGUGGCCAAGCGUGUGGCCCGCAUCCCAGGCAAAUCCGGGGUGCAUCAAGGGUGAGGCGCGAUGGUGGGGGCUUUUGGGCCCGAAUCCGGUGAUCCCGUGCUGCCGAGAAAAGCUUCGGCGCGAGGCUGGUGGCCGCCCGUACCCGAAACCGACACUGGUGGUCUGGUAGAGUAUACCGAAGCGAGCGAGCGAAUCCUGGUCAAGGAACUCGGCAAAUUGCUCCCGUGCCUUCGGCAUAAGGGAGGCCCCCCGGGGUGAUGGAACUUUGCUUCCGGAGCGUUGGGGGGUGGCACAGGCCAGGGGGUAGCGACUGUUUACCAAAAACACAGGUGCAUGCGAAGGCGCAAGCCGCUGUAUAUGCACUGACGCCUGCCCGGUGCCGGAAGGUUAAGAGGAUCCGUCAGCCCUAUGGGUGAAGCGGUGAAUUCAAGCCCCGGUAAACGGCGGUGGUAACUAUAACCAUCCUAAGGUAGCGAAAUUCCUUGUCGGGUAAGUUCCGACCUGCACGAAUGGCGUAACGACUUCCCCACUGUCUCGACCAGGAGCUCGGCGAAAUUGCAGUACGAGUAAAGAUGCUCGUUAAGCGCAGAAGGACGAAAAGACCCCGGGACCUUUACUAUACCUUGGUAUUGUCGUUAGGUGUGGAUUGUGUAGCAUAGGCGGGAGACGUUGAGGCC
rnacentral:rRNA from 1 species